rnacentral:rRNA from 1 species
GAUGAACGCUGGCGGCGUGCCUAAUACAUGCAAGUCGAGCGAACGGACGAGAAGCUUGCUUCUCUGAUGUUAGCGGCGGACGGGUGAGUAACACGUGGAUAACCUUCCUAUAAGACUGGGAUAACUUCGGGAAACCGGAGCUAAUACCGGAUGAUAUUUUGAACCGCAUGGUUCAAAAGUGAAAGACGGUCUUGCUGUCACUUAUAGAUGGAUCCGCGCUGCAUUAGCUAGUUGGUAAGGUAACGGCUUACCAAGGCAACGAUGCAUAGCCGACCUGAGAGGGUGAUCGGCCACACUGGAACUGAGACACGGUCCAGACUCCUACGGGAGGCAGCAGUAGGGAAUCUUCCGCAAUGGGCGAAAGCCUGACGGAGCAACGCCGCGUGAGUGAUGAAGGUCUUCGGGUCGUAAAACUCUGUUAUUAGGGAAGAACAUAUGUGUAAGUAACUGUGCACAUCUUGACGGUACCUAAUCAGAAAGCCACGGCUAACUACGUG